rnacentral:rRNA from 1 species
ACUGAACGCUGGCGGCAUGCCUUACACAUGCAAGUCGAACGGUAACGGGCCUUCGGGUGCCGACGAGUGGCGAACGGGUGAGUAAUAUAUCGGAACGUACCUUUCAGUGGGGGAUAACGUAGCGAAAGUUACGCUAAUACCGCAUAUUCUGUGCGCAGGAAAGCGGGGGACCUUCGGGCCUUGCGCUGAUUGAGCGGCCGAUAUCAGAUUAGCUAGUUGGUGAGGUAAAGGCUCACCAAGGCGACGAUCUGUAGCGGGUCUGAGAGGAUGAUCCGCCACACUGGAACUGAGACACGGUCCAGACUCCUACGGGAGGCAGCAGUGGGGAAUUUUGGACAAUGGGGGGCAACCCUGAUCCAGCCAUGCCGCGUGAGUGAAGAAGGCCUUCGGGUUGUAAAGCUCUUUCGGCCGGGAAGAAAUCGUAUGGGCUAAUACCCUGUGCGGAUGACGGUACCGGCAUAAGAAGCACCGGCUAACUACGUGCCAGCCGCCGCCGUAAUAC